AUACCGAAAUCACACAGAAACCA
rnacentral:snRNA from 1 species